rnacentral:rRNA from 1 species
UACGUAGGUGGCAAGCGUUGUCCGGAUUUACUGGGCGUAAAGAGCGCGCAGGCGGUCGUUCAAGUCGCGUGUGAAAGCCCCCGGCUCAACUGGGGAGGGUCACGCGAUACUGAUCGACUCGAAGGCAGGAGAGGGUAGUGGAAUUCCCGGUGUAGUGGUGAAAUGCGUAGAUAUCUGGAGGAACAUCGGUGGCGAAGGCGACAUCCUGGACCGGUAUUGACGCUGAGGCGCGAAAGCCAGGGGAGCAAACGGG